CCUUGCUUUUCAGGUGAGGGGAUCAGAGGUCAGCAACUAGCUUUUGUUUUCAAUAGCCUGAAGGCAGAAAGGCUGAUAGGACAUUCUCAGAUAAACUGCUAUUCCUAGUAUGAAAAGGCUUUGAGGACCUUGUAAACUAGGCUCAGAAUUCCUUCCCUCUUUGUUACUGGUUUUGGUAAGAGGGGGGGGUACUGUUUUGGGGUUGAGGUUUUUGUUUUGUUUGGGGGCUGGGGGCACAUUUAUGAUGUUUUCUUAGUUCCCAGCACUGGGAUUCCACCACACCCAAGGUUCCUCCGAGCUCAGUAUCAGCUCUUGAGAUGUUUGCCAGACUUGGCUGCAGUAGCCAGCUCUCUGCAAGGUUUUCUGGUGUUCUGCUGUUUCACAUAUUACCACAGUGGGCUGGCAAGCAAGUGGGCUCUGGGGCUCAUGGGGUGAAGUUAAUCCAUGCUUUUGCACUCUUGCAGAAAUCCUGGCAGGACUUUAGGCCAUGAUGAGAACUGGAUGGAGGACAAGGGCUGGGGAAGAAUAUUAGAAAUUGCAUUUGAGACUCUGCUGGGAGUUUUAAUACCUAUAAUGUGUUUGGUUUGAUAAAGUAGAAAAAGUGCUUGUUUGGGAAAGGUGACAAGAGACCAGCAAAACAUAUUUUGGUGCUACAGAUCAGAAGACUCCUUCCUGACACUUUACUUGGAUGGAUAGGCUUAGCUUACUAUUUUAGAGCAAACAACAAAGCAGCUCUGCAUUGUAGUGCCAGAGCAGUAAUAGAGCACUUCCUGGACUUAAAUUCAAUUUUACAUUCCCUGCAGAUAUACACAUGGUUUUCAGUGAAAUAAAUGGAAUUUAGUAUGUUUGAUAUUAAUAUUAUUGGCUCCUUGCUGUUUGUAUUCAUUUUUGUGCCAGAAUAAUUUUAUAUGAGAAAAAUAUGUCUUGAAAGGUUUGUACAGAUAAAAUACAAUACUUUUUACUCGGAAAAUGCCUCCAAAAGGCCUCAUGUGGUGUUCUGUGCUGUACAUUGGUCUAUAAGAUGAUAGACUGACUCAAACUGAUCUUCACAUAAUGUUUAGCUCCUUCUACCACCUUCUGUGGUAGAGUUUUCAUCUGUAAAUCCAGGAUGCCAGAGGGAGGAAUGGAUAAGAAAGAGAAGUACUUCCAGAAUGACAAACUGAAGCUGAACCAAUAUGAAAGGAUGGGAUGGGAGCUCAGCCCUGUUGCUAAAGGAAACUACAGUGCUUCUAAUACUUCACUGUUACAUGCUUCCACUUAACUGCAUCAGGACAACACAGAAGCAGUAAAAGAAAGAGCUCGACAGAGCAAAAGAGCUGAGCUCGGAGUGUAACAGUUACGGAGCCAAGCCAAUCAGAAUUAUUUGCAAGUGUAUCUCUAUUCAGGGUAGAAGGAUCAGCUCUAAAACAUUAAAAAACAGCCUCACAAGCUGGA